rnacentral:rRNA from 1 species
GACAGGGGGUGCCAACGUUGUUCGGAAUUACUGGGCGUAAAGCGCGUGUAGGCGGCUUGAGCAAGUCGGGUGUGAAAGCCCCAGGCUCAACCUGGGAAGUGCAUUCGAUACUGCGGAGCUGGAGUCCCGGAGAGGGUGGUGGAACUCUCGGUGUAGAGGUGAAAUUCGUAGAGAUCGAGAAGAACACCGGUGGCGAAGGCGGCCACCUGGACGGAGACUGACGCUGAGACGCGAAAGCGUGGGGAGCAAACAGG